rnacentral:rRNA from 1 species
AUUAAAAACCAAUGCCCUUCGGGGCUCUCUGGUGAUUCAUAAUAACUUCUCGAAUCGCACGGCCUUGCACCGGCGAUGGUUCAUUCAAAUUUCUGCCCUAUCAACUUUCGACGGCUGGGUCUUGGCCAGCCGUGGUGACAACGGGUAACGGAGGGUUAGGGCUCGACCCCGGAGAAGGAGCCUGAGAAACGGCUACUACAUCCAAGGAAGGCAGCAGGCGCGCAAAUUACCCAAUCCCGACACGGGGAGGUAGUGACAAUAAAUACUGAUACAGGGCUCUUUCGGGUCUUGUAAUUGGAAUGAGUACAAUUUAAAUCCCUUAACGAGGAACAAUUGGAGGGCAAGUCUGGUGCCAGCAGCCGCGGUAAUUCCAGCUCCAAUAGCGUAUAUUAAAGUUGUUGAGGUUAAAAAGCUCGUAGUUGAACCUUGGGCCUAGCCGGCCGGUCCGCCUCACCGCGUGCACUGGCUCGGCUGGGUCUUUCCUUCUGGAGAACCGCAUGCCCUUCACUGGGUGUGCC